UACGUAGGGUGCGAGCGUUAAUCGGAAUUACUGGGCGUAAAGCGUGCGUAGGCGGUUAGUUAUGUCUGCUGUGAAAGCCCCGGGCUUAACCUGGGAAUGGCAGUGGAAACUGGCGGGCUUGAGUGUGGCAGAGGGGGGUGGAAUUCCGCGUGUAGCAGUGAAAUGCGUAGAGAUGCGGAGGAACACCGAUGGCGAAGGCAGCCCCCUGGGCUGACACUGACGCUGAGGCACGAAAGCGUGGGGAGCAAACAGG
rnacentral:rRNA from 1 species